CGAUCUGAAAACUGGCACGGAAUGGAAACAUACUCUGCUGCCAAGACCCAUCACAUUUUAAUCAGUAUUUUACAAUCAUCUACAUAAGAUUUUGUUGGAGAGAACGACCCCAAAUCCAGAAUCUCCCUUUGCAAUCAGUCGAUCCCUGCCCCGCACCACCUGAAAGUUGCUGAGGAUGUGGACCAGAGCCGUU